UACGUAGGGUGCGAGCGUUGUCCGGAAUUACUGGGCGUAAAGAGCUCGUAGGUGGGUUUGUCGCGUUGUUCGUGAAAACCGGGGGCUUAACCCUCGGCGUGCGGGCGAUACGGGCAGACUGAGUACUGCAGGGGAGACUGGAAUUCCUGGUGUAGCGGUGGAAUGACGCAGAUAUCAGGAGGAACACCGGUGGCGAAGGCGGGUCUCUGGGCAAUAACUGACGCUGAGGAGCGAAAGCGUGGGGAGCGAACAGG
rnacentral:rRNA from 1 species